GAUGAAGAACGCAGCGAAAUGCGAUAAGUAAUGUGAAUUGCAGAAUUCAGUGAAUCAUCGAAUCUUCGAACGCACAUUGCGCCCCUUGGUAUUCCGAGGGGCAUGCCUGUUCGAGCGUCAUUACACCACUCAAGCUAUGCUUGGUAUUGGGCGUCGUCCUUAGUUGGGCGCGCCUUAAAGACCUCGGCGAGGCCACUCCGGCUUUAGGCGUAGUAGAAUUUAUUCGAACGUCUGUCAAAGGAGAGGAACUCUGCCGACUGAAACCUUUAUUUUUCUAGGUUGACCUCGGAUCAGGUAGGGAUACCCGCUGAACUUAAGCAUAUCAAUAAGCGGAGGA
rnacentral:misc_RNA from 1 species